GGACCUGAUAUCAGGCAAGAUUACCCGCUGAACUCAAGCAUAUUAAUAAGCGGAGGAAAAGAAACUAACAAGGAUUCCCCUAGUAACGGCGAGUGAAGCGGGAAGAGCUCAAGCUUAAAAUCUCCGUGCAAGUUUUGUGCGGCGAAUUGUAGUCCUAUAGAAGCGUGGUCAGCAUGGGCACUUGGGGCAAGUUCCUUGGAAGAGGACAGCAUGGAGGGUGAUACUCCCGUUCAUUUCUGAGUUGCUCGUGCGUACGACCCGUUUUCUUUGAGUCGCGUUGUUUGGGAAUGCAGCGCAAAGUAGGUGGUAAAUUCCAUCUAAAGCUAAAUAUUGGUGCGAGACCGAUAGCGAACAAGUACCGUGAGGGAAAGAUGAAAAGAACUUUGAAAAGAGAGUUAAAAAGUACCUGAAACUGCUGAAAGGGAACCGAAUCGUUUCCAGUGUCUAUAAUCCGUGGUAUAUUUCAUUGGCGAGUGUGUGCGUGCGUGUGCUGUGGCAGCGGCUUUUUUGGCUGCGCUCGGCGUGUGUGCUGUGUGUGCUUGCUGGUGCUCUGUGCUGCGGUGGGACGUCAAGGUCAGUUCGUAUGCUGCGGGAAAUGGCUGCCGAGGAGGUAGGGCUUACGCUUGCGUUUGUCUGUUAUAUCUUGGUGGACGAGUAGUCGCGGUUGGGACUGAGGUGCCUACAACGUGCUUUUG
rnacentral:ncRNA from 1 species